AGGUCACUUCAGAACCAUGCUGAAUAAGUCAUGACAAAAGAACCUGCCAGGUGUGAGUCCAUUCCAUUACAGAGGGCCCUUGUGGACAGUGAGAAAGUAGGAACAAGCAGGAGCAUUGUACCACAGCCAGCAUCCACCUAAGAGACUGUUUGGCUGGAGGCUACACAUCCUAAGGACACUGUAGAACAAACCUCAGUGGACUUCCUCAUCAAAUAUUCAGGCUGAGUGGAGGUCCAUCAAACUGUGGAGCUGUCCGGCCCAGACCACCCCGGGCAGGACGUGUUGUCCGUUUAACUCUGCUGUGUCAGGUGUCAGCUUGCAGGCCAAGUCGCAGAUUGUGAUUGGGUUUCAGCUCCUGAGUGACGUUAAGCUGCUCUCCCGCUAGUCACCAGAAUGACCUCGUCCUCACGGACACAGCCACUGAGUGCAGGAACUUGGCAUUGAGGCACAACAAAGAGCUUCUGAUCUGGCAGAGUGUGUGUAGGUACCUGAAAUACCUGCUACCACCUGACAACCCAUCUGAAGGCUAGGGGAUCAUGUCACCAACGUUUCUGCAGAUUCUUCAACGGUAAACUGAAACAUCUGUAAAGUAGAUUCAUUUUCAAAUCAAUUUCCCCCCCAUGGAAGGCCUUUAAUAUAUAUUUGAAAAAGCAGUCAAAUACUGUAUGACACUGCAAAUAGGUCAAUGUAUAGCGUACAUAGAAUAAUGUUGAGCUAAUAAGUAAAUGUCUGAAAUAAUAUGCCAUACAACAGAUCCAGCGAGCACAAAGGCUGUGAAACCCAGCUGAUGUCUCAAGUCCCCCCACCCCCCAACACACACACACAUGCCGGCCCAUGACUCCUAGCUCCUAACCAGCCUCUCGGUGGCUGCGGUGGGACACAGGGAGCCACCCUUGACAAUGAUGGAUUUGACAGCAGGAAAGUGUUAAUGAUAUUCUCUCUUUGAUGGCCGGGGCUACUUCACACGCAUUUGCAUUUCCAUUCAUCAUCCCAGCAUUUAUCAUUUGGAGGCGGGUGCCAGAUCUAAUUACAGUGCAGACUAACAGGGUGACACGCGGAAGAGACCAGCCACUCUUUCAACAAGAGAAAAAAAAAAGAAAAAAAAAAACACAGGAAAGUUUCCAGCAGGAAACGCACCCAUGUAGCACCAAACCCAAUUAACUUCACUCUAAAUGAAGUCAUUUGAGGCCUCUUCAUUAGAAUUAGCUGAGGAAGAAGGUGGCAAGGGGGAUGGGAUAAAUAAAUAAAGAAAGGAUAAGAUUUGGGUUUCAUAACUGACUCGUCUCGGCUCCGUCUCUCUCUCACUCUCUCUUUCAAACCUUGUCUUUCUUGUGGGUGAUUCAAGCAGUGAUCCAAAGAGACAACAUGUGAGGUUCAUGAUUAUUUCCUGAUAAUGCUAUCAACUGUAAUUAUUUGUGACCAGUCACGUGUUACAA